CCUCUCCACACCUCUGCCCUCCUCCCUCUCCUUCUUCCCUCCCGUGGUGGGUGAUUGUCGCCCAAGAGCAAGAGGGGAUGGACAUCUCUUCUCUGCAGAGGAGGAGGAGAAAAAGGGGGAGGAAUUCCUCACUUCAGAUUAGGUAAAAUGUAUAUAAAAUGUGGGAAACAGUGCAAAAUUUGGUAAAAAAAAAAAAAAUACUACCAGAAUAAGGGUAUAGAGUGCAAGUGAUAAAUUUAAUGAUAAUACAGUGUCAGUUUCUGCAAAAUCCUCAAAAGGAAGCAAAAGCAAGUGUCGCUGAAUAGGUUCCUUAUUAAAGUGCAUGAAAAGAAAAAGAUUGCAGGGAGCCAGUAGCAGCGAUCCCACGAGCGACAGUGACACUCAUCCUCUACAGUAACCCUCCGCUCUGGUCUUCACAAAGGUUCUAGAAGAAGAUUGUCUUAUAGAAGCAGUGCAUACUCUGGAAAUAUGCCUUCAAGUCGAUCUUUCCCUGGGCUUCAGAUAUGUGGAAGUGCUGCUGUCAUAUCCUGGAGAGGAGAGGAGAGGAGAGGAGAGGGGCUAAGUGGAGCGGGCAAAGUGAAAAGUGUCCUUGCCUGGGUUACUUCAUCCUCAACAAAGUCCUUGAAGCAAGUUGGAACAGCAAAUUGGCCCAGUGCACGAGCAGAAGAAAGCAGCUGCACCCCGACAGUCAAGGCUGACUGAAGUUAGCCGGGUGUAUGUGACAAGCAGCAGGAGCAGAGCAGAGGCUACCAUACGAUUUUUAACUUGAUAUAACAUGUCUAUAAGUUUGCUAUUCUAUAACUGUGCCUUUACAAUUUAUAUAACUGUGUCCUUGCAUAUAUAUAUUGGUAUCCCUACAAAGUGUAAUCA